rnacentral:lncRNA from 2 species
GGCGGAGGAAACGAACGAGGAGGACAAAGACGAAAAGGAGGAUUAGGUGGACGAGGAGGACGGAGGUGGUCGGAGGUAGUAGAGGGUGGUUCUUGUAUCGCCGACCAGUCAGUGAGUACACUCAGGCCAAGUACUGGCUUGGGCUUACCAUUGCGAAGACUGUGUUACUCAGAAGGUGAAUGCAGCCAGCAUCAUGUUGAAAUCGGAAACUCUCUGAUGUUCUGCAAUAAGUUCUCAACUCUACCGUUGGAACAUCUCACGGAGCAAUUUUUUGUUGUCACAUCAAAGCCAUGAAGGCAACUGUCUUUAUAUUCUUCAUCCAAUCCAGGUGCUUUUUCGCUCGCCGUUUCUCUCCUGUUGGUCCUAGG